rnacentral:rRNA from 1 species
AAACUUUCAACAACGGAUCUCUUGGUUCUCGCAUCGAUGAAGAACGCAGCGAAAUGCGAUAAGUAAUAUGAAUUGCAGAUUUUCGUGAAUCAUCGAAUCUUUGAACGCACAUUGCGGCCUCUGGUAUUCCAGAGGCCAUGCCUGUUUGAGCGUCAUUU